GUGGGGAAUAUUGGACAAUGGGCGAAAGCCUGAUCCAGCCAUGCCGCGUGUGUGAAGAAGGUCUUCGGAUUGUAAAGCACUUUAAGUUGGGAGGAAGGGUAGUAACCUAAUACGUUGCUACUUUGACGUUACCGACAGAAUAAGCACCGGCUAACUUCGUGCCAGCAGCCGCGGUAAUACGAAGGGUGCAAGCGUUAAUCGGAAUUACUGGGCGUAAAGCGCGCGUAGGUGGUUCAGUAAGUUGGAAGUGAAAUCCCCGGGCUCAACCUGGGAACUGCUUUCAAAACUGCUGAGCUAGAGUACGGUAGAGGGUGGUGGAAUUUCCUGUGUAGCGGUGAAAUGCGUAGAUAUAGGAAGGAACACCAGUGGCGAAGGCGACUACCUGGACUGAUACUGACACUGAGGUGCGAAAGCGUGGGGAGCAAACAGGAUUAGAUACCCGGGUAGUCC
rnacentral:rRNA from 1 species